UAUGAAACUCGCAGAAGAGCUUCUUGAAUUCAGCAAGGAUCGCCAUCCUUGGGAGUCAGUAAAAGAGAAGCUUAACGCGAUCAGAGACAUGAUGCGAAAAAUGGUAAAAGAGAUGAGGGCUGGUAGAGAAUGAAGAGCUGCUAGUCAAGAUGGUUCCAAUACGAUUGUUUUUCUUGUCGAGUAUUUACAACAUCUAGUCAACAACAACAUGGCUUUUUUAACUUCAAAACAGGAAUAAAUGAAAAGUUAGCUGAAACUAUUUGGUUGUUAUGGCAGUCAGUGGAGUAAAUGUCGUUUGCCGAAUCGGAAUU